rnacentral:rRNA from 1 species
GAUGAACGCUGGCGGCGUGCCUAAUACAUGCAAGUCGAGCGAACGGACGAGAAGCUUGCUUCUCUGAUGUUAGCGGCGGACGGGUGAGUAACACGUGGAUAACCUACCUAUAAGACUGGGAUAACUUCGGGAAACCGGAGCUAAUACCGGAUAAUAUUUUGAACCGCAUGGUUCAAAAGUGAAAGACGGUCUUGCUGUCACUUAUAGAUGGAUCCGCGCUGCAUUAGCUAGUUGGUAAGGUAACGCCUUACCAAGGCAACGAUGCAUAGCCGACCUGAGGGGGGGACGGGCAAAACGGAAAAGAGAAACGGGUCAAAAAUCACAGGGGAGGAAAAGGAGGGGAAUCUGCCGCAAGGGGGGAAAGCCGGAGGGAGAAAAGCGGGGGGGGUGAAGAAGGUCUUGGGAGCGAAAAACUUUGUUAUUAGGGAAAAAAAAAGGGGAAAGAAAAGGGGAAAAACGUGAGGGUACCAAAAAAAAAAGCAACGGAAAACAACGG